UCCAACAAUCCUCUCGCACAUAACCAUCCCUGCAUGGGAUUCGAACCUGCGAACUCCUGCAGAGUAAUUAGAGGUGUGGUGGUAAGCGUAUUCCUAAUGCUUAGCACAGUGAGCCACACCGCCGUGCCAUUGACUUCUUAGUUUAGCUUCGUAACAUUAGCCAAUCAGCAAGAUGGAGAGAGUGUGGUAACAAAAGACGUUCAGACACUUUUGUACGACAAAUUUUGUAAUGGUAAAUUCUGUGGUUCAAAGGUCGGGAAAACAUUAAGUUAUAUCUGUAAAUAUUUCUUUUCUAUUUCAUUUUUUUGUUCAUUCUCUUAUCUCGUUCUUUUUUACUCGUCCUAUUUUACUUUUGAUAUGUUUGUACCAUAUAUUAUAUAUGUUAACUGAAGUCUUGUUUUUGUGAAUGUUUUUUUUUCAGCAUCUAGUCGUGAUUCCUGCUUUUCUCAAGAUACCUUUUACCUGACCCAUGAUUGCACCAACUGGACAUUUUUUAACAAUAUUUUAUUUUAUAAUUGAAUAUUUCUUUUAUUAUUUUUGUUUCCCGUACAAGCUAACAUUUGCCUUUUUCAAGUUAUUCUAUAAUCUCACUUUCUUAAUAGCUAUUUAUCUUUAAAAUUAAAUAUCCAGGUAAUUUGAAAUUGAAUUGUUAAGAUCGAAUGGAACUAUGUUGCAAGAUUCAAUGAAAUUUCAAUGGUAUACACAGUACGAUGCAGGAUUCACGAAAAUUGCAAAGGUUUCAUCAAUCCUGGUUGUAGGGUCUGAGUUGUUUUAAUUGAACACGUAGCUCCUCACAGACGAACCCUUGAAUCAUCAAAAUAGACCUGAUUGUUGGAUUUCUAAGACU